UGAAAAGUUCAGUUUAACAGCAGCUCUCGUCUCAGUAAGUUAUUAGAUUUUUUCCUAAUAUUUCAAUAAAAGUUUUCACUGCCCUUUUUUAAGCCUUAUCAUAAUGGAAGUUUUCCGGAGACAGCGCUAUAUUGGUGCAAACAAUUAAAAAGUUUCUUAGUCAAAAUAAUGAUUUGUAACUAAUUUACUCAUAAAAUGUUAAAAAUAGUAUCAAGAAUUAAAUCAUUUAUCCCAGUUGAGAGUUGACGCAUUGAUCAGACUGACGGGGUGCUAAACAUUAACAGCACUGAGUUUCCGCCAAAAAUUCUUCAGAUAGAUACUUCUGCCAGGCGAUCCACCCAAAUUAAUUGACGACUAUUCUACACAAGGACUCUAAAAUGCCGAAAGUUGUUUCCUGCUUUUGGAUCCAUAGUACCUCGUGUUUUCUUUACUGGCUGAUUUGCUGCCGGUUUCAUGUCGACACCAAUGAAGUUGCUGCAGGACCUGAAUAGGAGUUCAUGUCCUGCUCCAACUUUUACUCUAAUGCAUUUUCUACUGGACAAUGUUGACACUAUAAGAUAUGAUAUUACUGACUGCAUUAUGACAAUUAUCUCGAAGCUUCCCUUAUACUUUAAGAACUCGUUACUGUAUACCCCUGGAAAUGUUUAAAAAAAAUUUAA
rnacentral:sRNA from 1 species